rnacentral:tRNA from 1 species
AAGGAUUUAAGUUAAAAGCAAACUUUUAGCCUUCAAAGCUAACCAUAGAAGAUUUUCUAAGCCUUA